rnacentral:lncRNA from 1 species
UAGUACCUUGCAGGCCUCGCUUCUUUACUUGGAUCUGGCCCUUUCUACUAGAAUUAGUUGAAAGAAAAAACCUGUUGCACGAACCCUUUACACUGAUUAGCAAAAACCUUUCUAGAACAUCAAGAAGAGAAAGAAGAACUCUUCUUCUUCUCUUCCCUCUCUUUAAUCUCUCUUUCUCUAAAAUCUGAUCUAGAGAAAGUGGGGCAUGG